rnacentral:rRNA from 1 species
GACGGAGGAUGCAAGCGUUAUCCGGAAUGAUUGGGCGUAAAGCGUCCGCAGGUGGCAGUUCAAGUCUGCUGUCAAAGACCGGGGCUUAACUUCGGAAAGGCAGUGGAAACUGAACAGCUAGAGUAUGGUAGGGGCAGAGGGAAUUCCUGGUGUAGCGGUGAAAUGCGUAGAGAUCCGGAAGAACACCGGUGGCGAAGGCGGUCUGCUGGGCAGUGGCUCGCAAGGGCCAAUAGCCGACACUGAGGCGCGACAGCGUGGGGAGCAAACAGG